ACGUCAAGAGAUAACGCUAUUAACGUUACCCCCUUCUUCACAACUGAAAGUACCUUACAACCCGAAGGCCUUCUUCAUACACGCGGCAKGGCUGCAUCAGGCUUUCGCCCAUUGUGCAAUAUUCCCCACUGCUGCCUCCCGUAG
rnacentral:rRNA from 1 species